GGGGAGGGGGGACUUAUAUACAAAUAUAAUUUUAUAUAUUUUUUUUAUUAAAAACAAAAUUUUCUUUUCAUCAUCAAAUUUUGAAAAAUUUUCAAAUCAGUUGCUUUCGGAAUAUUGUAAAAUUAAGUUCGCAUUAUAGAAUACUAGGAGUUUUUAAAUCACAUUUUUAUUAAACACACAAAACACAAACAAAACAAACAUAAAAAUGGAGUACGUACAAUUCAAAAACGGUUCACCACACUACUACAGGGAACAACCAGACCUCAACGAAUGUAUUCAAUAUCAACCCUACCGAACAACUCCACUGGUUUUGCCCGGUGCUAAAGUGAAAAAAGAUGCUCCCACCACAGAAUCCUAUUUGAGACACUACCCUAACCCAGCUGUACGUGCCCAUCCCCAUCAUGAUUUCCAUGAUAGUGUAAUGAAGCAACGUGUUGCCGACACCAUGUUGCACAGAGUUGUUGGUCAAGAUGCUGAUUCUGGCAAAGUUUUCCACAAACAAUUCAACUCUCCCAUUGGCUUGUACUCUGAUAACAACAUUGAAAGCACCAUCCGCCAAACAGUUCCAAUUUUCAUCGAUCUAUCUUUCCUGGAACAAAAAUAUAAAAUACUGGAGCAACAAAAACAGAAAGAACUACAAGAACAACAACAACGUGAACAGCGACAAAAACAGCUGGAACAACUAUAUCAUCAUUGAGAAUAAUAAAAAACUAGAGCAAAAAACCCAACUUUUCAAUUUGAUUUUACAAAAAAUCUUUGAAAAUAAUACUAGAAGAAAUUUAUUCCAAACCCAACACUAUUCUAAACCCUAUAAUUACCCUAUUGAUACACAAUUAUUCCCACCAAGAUACUCCCAACCAAAUAUCCGUUUUCCCUAAGCUAAUGAUGAUACUUAAAAGCAAAAAAAAAAAUAAUAAUAAUGAAACGCUUAUGUGGCUAACAAAAAUUUGUACUAGAAAAUCUUAAAACUCAAAAUUAUUUCCUUUUCUUUCAAUAAAAAUGUCUAAAAUUAUCUGUCACGCUUGUCCACUAAUGUUUAGCUAGAAACUUUUCUUUUUUUAUUUAUCGCUAAUGUAGUAGUUCUAACACCUUUCUUAAUGAAAUUAAUUCUUUAAAUUAAGAUUGAAUUGGAAAUUGUCAUUUAAACUGUCAUUUGAGUUGUUUUGCAAAUUUACCAAAAACAUUUUUUUUAAAACUAAUUCUAACUUAUUUUGUGCACAUCCUGUUUUUUCUCUCUUCUCACUCUACGCUCUAAAAUAAAAAUAAAUCUCUACUCGUCCAAAAAAAUAAAAUAUAAAUAUAAACAAAAUCUAUAAUAAAAUAAAACCAAAAUCUCAAAAUAUUAUAAAAAAAUGGUUCAAAAUCAAUGAUGAAAACCGAAUGAAUUUGAUGAUGUCUAAUGAACAACUAUAACACGCUGCACUUAAUAAUUUAUUAAACAACUAUAACAACAACAAACCAAAACACAUUACGUCACUUUACGAUGACAGUUACAAGAAAACAGUUGUCUAUGAUCCAUCCAGGAGUGAAACCUAUAGAGCCAUUCAAGAGGAGGGUUAUGGCAAUGCUGCUUUCACUGAAGAAGUAACAGUACCAGUGCAACCAAAGGUUUUCCAUCCCAAUAGAAUGGUUCCAGGAAAGAAACCAGUACAACAAUCAGCGCCCAUUUCCGGUCCGUCGUACAAUGUGGUAAACACAACCGAUGAAACCAUUCGUCAAAGUGGAUCCUUCAACCGUUUGAUGUAUAGUGUUUUGGGUACAUCACAAUAUUAAUUAUUUAAUUAAUUAAAAAAUCUCUCUAUUAUUAUAUAUUUACUAUUUUUUAAUUUAACAUCUUUACAAAAUGAAAAAUUUACUAAAAAAAAAUACAUGAAAGAAAAAUUCGAUUCGUAAAAGAA